rnacentral:lncRNA from 1 species
GUUGCUGCUGGUGCAGGUUACACGUGCGUGAAACUGGCAAUCUUGAAGGGUCGAGGAUGAGAGUAGGGUACACAUUGGACCACGGAUAGCGGACGAUCAUUCGACGGCCAUUAAAAGUUUCGGGAUUGUUUCAUUUUGGCGGGGUCACGGAACGCGACUCGGGGUUAAAAAAGCGAAUAACGUCAUUGCGAACCACUUAUGAUACGGUUUGCGUGAUGAACAGAAGAAUAUGAGAAGACAGAAUGAAAAAUUUACUUCUGGGGCAACAAAUGUUCGAUCGUUGUAUUUAGCUCUUUGUUUACUUCCUCGCUCUUUGACGGCACUGAUUUAUAUCGAAGUUUGUAGAACCCACACACGUGAUUCGGAAAUAUACAAUCUUUCGCUAGCUCCGAACAAGUUCUAAAAGCGAUCGGUUAUAUUAUUUGAACGAUGAAAAACCAUGCUGAAUUUAAUUUAAGGUUUACCUCGUGCGUGUACAUUUUAUCCAUAGUGAAAUAUUUUUAAUUACAUUGAUAGAUGAAAUUCAUUAACGGUUUUUUUAAGUUUUUUGCCAGGGAUUGUUGUUCCGAUAUUUUCUUUGAGUUUAAAAUUCUUCGAAAUUUCGCGCAACCUCAUCCGGCUUCUCGUUAAAAAAAAGCUUCCUCGAACGUCGUAAACUUUUCGUAUGAUCGCAGUACUUGGCUAACUCUUGAAGAGAUUGUGACGGAUUUCACGAAGCUUCAAAAAAUUGUCAAAAGACUCCUCGGAGAGAGUCUGGAGGAACGUAAUUUAACGCUAACUUUGGAAAACCUGAAAAGGAUCAUAUCGUACUUAUACUUCACAGAAUGUGCCUUGCGAAAUUUCAUAAGAUUCGAGGAAUUCUGAAAUUAUAAUUCUGGUGUACAAGAUUCGAGGAACAAAGAAAAUUUCAACGACCGUUGUACCGGAUAUUUUGGGGAGCGAUUCAACCCUCGCUCUCAUUUUAUUUCAAACGUUUUUUUCGGAAAUUGUAUAGAGUCAAGAACUCCACCGUCUCUCUGAGCAACCCUGAUACUCGUGCAACUUGCUGAUGUCAUUCAUGGGGGGGGGGGGGAUGGCGUGUAGCAGUCCGGCGAUAUUACUUGUCCUCAAGCCCUUAAACGAGAACCUAAUCAGGUAAUGGAACAGGAACGAGAAACAAAUGAACACGAGCUGGGAGAACUGCUGGCCGAGGGUUGAACGCCGUUGAGUUCUGGUCCGAAGGGACAAGGGGCCGAGUGUUCGGUGUGUCCUUUUCUCAGGACACCGAACGUGCCGCACAAUACGCAGGACUGUAGGUACUCUUGAAUAUGGGAAAACACCGAGGCCAUGUCGCAGAGUUCCUUGUUUGAAAUUGGAUACGAGGGGUGGACGGAAAUUACGAUACCCAUGGAAUUCUCAUAUUUUACAGAGGUGGAUAUUACAAAUACGAAUUCGAAUCCAGAGCUGACAGAGAAGAAAUUAUUCACGAGUUUUUCUCGAGGAUCGACUGACCCAAGGAUACUUUGGUGCUGUGGAUACAGUUUUAAGGGAAUCGAGUUACAUACCAUCAAAUUUUGCAAAAUGCGUUCUCGAAUGUUGUCAAAUGUAUUAGGCUGGGGUUCGUUGGAUAAGGCAUUUUAUGGAGCAACAUAUUUCUGUACGUCUUAUCACAUUGCGCAAAUAUGAGGAAUUCGUCGUCGAGCAUUAGGGAUAAAACGUGAGAAGACGUUAGGAAAAAAGGAGCAGAUUGACUUACGGUUGUUUACUUUAAAGGCACAUUAAAAUGGAAUUGUAGCCUAAUGUACCGUAAAUAUUACACGAUGGAAUACAUGAGGUGUGAUGAAAAAUUCCGAGGCACAUAUUAUCUCGGAAACAUGGCAAAAGUCGUUUCAACCAUACCUAUAUACGUUUCUUUUUACUAACAAUAAGAAGUUUGCUUGGAUAAAAAUCGAUACCGUUUAACAAUUCUACGAGGAGAUAGUUGAAAAUUGAAUACUCAUCAGUUAUUAUAUUCGUAAGGUACCUGCAAAGAUUUCUUUUAA